UGCAUUUAUCCAUUAAUGUUCCAUCACUGAGCUCUUCAGGUUUCUGCUCUGUAUUUUCCUGAUUCACCUUUGGAAUACACCUGGCUUUCUGCAGCAAUGCUUGUGUAGCUGUUGUGGGUGAGUGCCCUUCGCAGAGAGCAUCAGUGGUUUGCUGUAACACCAGGACCUGAAAACAGCAUAUCUCAUCUUAGGAUAAUACCUGAGCCUUCCAGGGCAACAGUAGACUUUGGAACCAGGAUGCUCUUGUUCCUUCAGCAGCAUUUUAGCUACUUACUGGCUGAAAUGGUAUGCCUGUGUCUGGAUGAGAUAGAGAGCAAUUUACCGAUUUCAUCCACACGAUGGAUGUGGAGGAGAAGCCAUAGAGGAUGAUACCCAACCAGAAACACGCUGCAGUUUUGUUGUGAAUAUCCAGGAAGUCUCUGCAGUGCAGAUGUGACAGCAACAGCAAAACUUAUUUCAAGGUCCCAUCCCAUGAAGAGGCUGAUCAUGCCUUCCCUGGAACCAAGCAGCAUGUAAAACCUGUGAUUUUUGGGGGCCCUUGAGUGAUGAAGCUGGUGAUGGAAAGGCCACUUCUUGCAGCACUGACUAUAAACA